rfam:Corchorus capsularis cultivar CVL-1 contig09427, whole genome shotgun sequence.
CUGGAAUGAUGCUUCUUUAGCCAAAUCAGACAUUUUGAUGUGCUCCAUAAGGCAUCCUCUUAGUUUUCAAGAUUGUAGCUUUGAAUGGAUGCCUUUUGUUGAAGCUGCAUCCUCUGAUGAUAAACACUAGAGAAUGGUUGCUUACUGACCAGA